AAAAGAAUCGAUUGGGCAUGCCGCUUGAGUUUGAUGUUGGGUCUGGGAUGGUCACAGUGGUUGCGCUACUUUCACCGACACUAAAAAACCGAUUUUCUAGAUUUGCCCGAGUAUCGAGUAAACGAAGUUCAUCAAUAGGUUGCACUGCAUUAUCAAAUCAUGUUUUUGAUUGGUUAGGUAAGUUGUCAUGUUUACAUACUUAAAAUGAAUUGAUUAUGUUCAGAUUUCUUACUUUCACGCCUUUCAUAUCCAGUCGUGACAUUAUGGGCACGAUUUGUGAUGUCUGCCAUAGCCCUUCUAACUCCCAAAGUGUUGGGAGUAUUGGUAACAAUCACAGGCCCUUCCGAACUUGGAGUUUGAGGUUGGCUUUCAGGAGUACCUAUAACAUCUGAUUGGUUUUCACAUGCAUAGCUGAGUCGCCUUUUUGCAUUUUGACAAUCUCUUUGUUCUGGAGUGAGUGAUUUUCUCUGUUGUCUUUUUUUAUCCCUCCAUAUCGACCUUUGAUCUUGCAUACAUUGAUCUCCGUUCUCGUCCAUUAUGAAACUCUAAAACUACACAUUAAUUUGGUUACUAUAAGUUGUUUGUAUUGUAAUUUUGUUGCAAUAUAAUAGAGAUUGAUAAAUUAAAUAUUUUAUUUUAAUGCAUUUUUUUUUCCUUUUUUGCUAAAACGAACGUAUAAUUUUAAAAUAAAUUGAAUAUUUUAUUUUGUUUCCUUUCGCUUUUCUGUUUUACUUAAAGGAAAAUUUAUAUUUAAAUUAAAUUAAAUAUUUUAUUUGAAUGUUUUUUAUUCUAUGCUUUUCCACUAAAAUGAAAGUCAAUUUUAAGUAAUCAAACAUAAUUUGUGUGUUUUUUUUAUUUUAAUUUUCGUAUUAAUAUUCUUAUAAUAACUUUAGAUGAUACUUCUCUCGCCAUUUGGUUCCGUUUUUUCGGUUUAGUAAAGCUAAAGCCCAUUUUAUUCUAAAAGCCCAAUCCUUUCUAUACUUAAGAACGUAAACCCUAUCUGAUGUUUGUUGUUAUCCGCCGUUCCUCUUUUAUGUGGAACCUAUUUUCAUUUGUCUCCUUACUUUAUCUCCUUCCUCUCUCAAACGAUCUCCUUCCUCUCUCAUCGUUUAUCAGAUCUCCUUCCUCUCUCAAACGAUCUCCUUCCUCUCCUUCCUCUCUCAUCGUUUAUCAGAUCUCCUUCCUUUCUCUCCUUAAAGAAUGGCGAUAAACCUCAAAUUUGGUGAAAAUAUGCGCUCAAAUGCCUAUCCUUUCAAAUUCCGAUCAACAUAUUGCGAAAAUACUCAGAUCAAGAAAUAUAAGGUUAAUCUCUCGCCUUACCCUCUCUCAUCUUUUCUAAUUUAACUAAUUCAACUCAGAUUAAGGGUUUUAUGUAAAUUACGCGCAAGUUUUUUUUUCUGAUUGGAAUGGGUAUUUAGGAUUUAAUUUAGCGAUUAAUUGUUGAUUAACUAACUGAUUUUUUUGUUUGCAUUUUUUGGUUUGCAUGUCGUAUCAAUGUGGAGGGUAAGGUCGCUGGCGUGGCGGUGGAGAAGCGAUGGCGAGGCGAGGCGCGGGGCGAAGCGAUGGCGAGGCGCGGGGCGAGGCGAUGGCGAGGCGCGGGGCGAGGCGAUGGCGAGGCGAGGCGAUGGACAAUGAGUCCCUCUAUUGGUUGGAGAGGAAGGUGCACAGAUGUUGGGCAAGACGCGUGAUGGGCGAUGGGCGAGGCGGGGAAGGCGAUGGGCGAGGCGACCGAGGCGCUGGUCAGGUUAUAAUUUGUUUAAAUUGGAGGAUUCAUACGAAAAGUGUACUUACAUGUGGGAGCGACUUCAAGAAGAAACAAUGGUGAUGUGGUUCUUUUGAGAACGGAUUUCUUCUGGGAAUCAGCGCGGUAGUAGAUUUGCAUUAAGGGAGAGGUUUCUUGUUUUAUGGUUUCUGGAAUUUUUCUUCUGAUUUCUGGUUUAGGAUCUGGUUUAUGGAGGUUUUUUGUUUUCAGGGCUUCUGCAGUUAAUUAGAAAAAUUUAUUCUUUUAGAUUUGUAAUAUUUUUCGUUUCAUUUGGUAACUGCAAUAAGUGUAAUAUUUUAUUUUCCUUAUCUGUUUUUCGUUUCAUUUGGUAACUGCAGUAGUUGUAAUAUUUUAUUUUCCUUAUUUUCAUUUAUUUCCUGAUUUAAUCAAUCAAUCAACAUCAGCUUUGGUAAUUGAGAUAAAAAGGAUUGAUUUUGGGCGUCACUUAAGGUCUGGGGUGCAAUUAAACUGUAGAACUGCGUUGGGGUAUUUUAGUCUUUUAACUGGGGGACACGAAAAGCCAAAUUACAAAAUAGACCUCAGCUGUUCCUUUAUAGAAUAGAGAUUAUUA